UUGAAGAGUUUGAUCAUGGCUCAGAUUGAACGCUGGCGGCAGGCCUAACACAUGCAAGUCGAGCGGUAGCACAGAGAGCUUGCUCUCGGGUGACGAGCGGCGGACGGGUGAGUAAUGUCUGGGAAACUGCCUGAUGGAGGGGGAUAACUACUGGAAACGGUAGCUAAUACCGCAUAACGUCGCAAGACCAAAGUGGGGGACCUUCGGGCCUCAUGCCAUCAGAUGUGCCCAGAUGGGAUUAGCUAGUAGGUGAGGUAACGGCUCACCUAGGCGACGAUCCCUAGCUGGUCUGAGAGGAUGACCAGCCACACUGGAACUGAGACACGGUCCAGACUCCUACGGGAGGCAGCAGUGGGGAAUAUUGCACAAUGGGCGCAAGCCUGAUGCAGCCAUGCCGCGUGUGUGAAGAAGGCCUUCGGGUUGUAAAGCACUUUCAGCGGGGAGGAAGGCGUUAAGGUUAAUAACCUUGGCGAUUGACGUUACCCGCAGAAGAAGCACCGGCUAACUCCGUGCCAGCAGCCGCGGUAAUACGGAGGGUGCAAGCGUUAAUCGGAAUUACUGGGCGUAAAGCGCACGCAGGCGGUCUGUCAAGUCGGAUGUGAAAUCCCCGGGCUUAACCUGGGAACUGCAUUCGAAACUGGCAGGCUAGAGUCUUGUAGAGGGGGGUAGAAUUCCAGGUGUAGCGGUGAAAUGCGUAGAGAUCUGGAGGAAUACCGGUGGCGAAGGCGGCCCCCUGGACAAAGACUGACGCUCAGGUGCGAAAGCGUGGGGAGCAAACAGGAUUAGAUACCCUGGUAGUCCACGCCGUAAACGAUGUCGAUUUGGAGGUUGUGCCCUUGAGGCGUGGCUUCCGGAGCUAACGCGUUAAAUCGACCGCCUGGGGAGUACGGCCGCAAGGUUAAAACUCAAAUGAAUUGACGGGGGCCCGCACAAGCGGUGGAGCAUGUGGUUUAAUUCGAUGCAACGCGAAGAACCUUACCUGGUCUUGACAUCCACAGAACUUAGCAGAGAUGCUUUGGUGCCUUCGGGAACUGUGAGACAGGUGCUGCAUGGCUGUCGUCAGCUCGUGUUGUGAAAUGUUGGGUUAAGUCCCGCAACGAGCGCAACCCUUAUCCUUUGUUGCCAGCGGUCCGGCCGGGAACUCAAAGGAGACUGCCAGUGAUAAACUGGAGGAAGGUGGGGAUGACGUCAAGUCAUCAUGGCCCUUACGACCAGGGCUACACACGUGCUACAAUGGCAUAUACAAAGAGAAGCGACCUCGCGAGAGCAAGCGGACCUCAUAAAGUAUGUCGUAGUCCGGAUUGGAGUCUGCAACUCGACUCCAUGAAGUCGGAAUCGCUAGUAAUCGUAGAUCAGAAUGCUACGGUGAAUACGUUCCCGGGCCUUGUACACACCGCCCGUCACACCAUGGGAGUGGGUUGCAAAAGAAGUAGGUAGCUUAACCUUCGGGAGGGCGCUUACCACUUUGUGAUUCAUGACUGGGGUGAAGUCGUAACAAGGUAACCGUAGGGGAACCUGCGGUUGGAUCACCUCCUU
rnacentral:rRNA from 1 species